GCGAGCAAAAACUGCGAGCAGCCGAACACAACCGGUCCACUCAAAAAUUCUCUACUUAGGAUAAUUACACAUGUGCAUGUGCUGCUGAUGUUAAUAGCCGUACGUGGCUUUUGUUUUCAGGCAAGCUCGUCACUGCUGGCUAUGGGCAACUGCAUGUCGUCACGAGUCUCACGACCACUACCGCGGCCAACGCCAACACCAUCGACACAGCCGCAGGGCCCGCGGAACCCUGCAAGUAAUUUGAGUGUUCGUAAUGAUGGAGACUUGACUUACAACCGGGAUGCCAAGAACCCCAGAAAAUAACCGCCGUUCCCCAUGUGACCACGAAAGCAAUACAUAUUUACUGGUGGGCAUCGCAUGAUAUGAAGAAACAAAUAUGUGAUCUUGACUCUCUGCUGGGAGCCUAGUAUAUGUCAUUCGUGUGAUGAACAGUUACAACUUAUUCUUUUAUCUGAGUUGGCAGUAUAUUUCCUUUCUUGGUUUGUAUAUAUACAUUAUAUUAAGAUCAUUAAAAAUUAGAGCAGAGUCCUGAUGUUUCUUCAAAAAAUGUACUCCCUCCUUGCCACAGUGUACUUCAUAUAAGAUUUUUUAAAAGUCAUAAUUUGUAAAAUUUAACCACUUUUAAUGAGGAAUAUAUGCAUAUCUACAAUA